rnacentral:sRNA from 1 species
UGGACAGCCCAAAAGACAACCAUUAUUUGCUUAUCCACAGAACAGGUAUAGCAUGGGCAGUGGCAGCUCACAAUUCCCUCACAUCUGUGGGUCUCUGCCCCAGUACACAGGAACAGCUUUUAUGAAGAGGGGAAUUCACUCUUAAUAGCCCAUUGAAUCCUUGGCUUCC